AGCUUUGUGUAUGGGCGGCAUCUUAGCCAAUGAGGUUUAUGUGAGGCAUGAUUAUUGCUAACUGAAAACUUUUCCCAUUUAGA
rnacentral:snRNA from 1 species